UAAAGUUUCAAUCCUCUCAAUGGCGGCGACAGACGAACCCUCUGAUCACUCCUCGUUUCCAUCAUAUUCGGUAAACCAUUCGGAUGAUAAUGGCAGUGCCGCUGAAGCCAGAGAAGUCUAAGUAGUGCUCGUAGGUGCCAUCGUCGCCGUCGUCUUCUUCUUCAGCGUCGCCGUUGGAGCUCAAAGCAUAGCUCUUGCCCUCAUCGAAGUUUGGGUUUGAUUUUCACUUGGUACAAUUCUUCUUUGCUUGCAUGCCUUUAGCUGUUUAUCUGGUGGCUCAGUAUGCGCGCUAUGAAAUUAGAAGGAUGGAAACGGUAAUUGCUAUUCAAUUCUUUGGUAUCUUGUUUAUUAACUCACUUUGUUCUCCCCUUUUUUUUUGGCUUUUUGUGUUCUAAUUCAUAUCUCUCUUUGCCACUUUUAUUUGAUCAAUUUAUGAGAUGAUGAAUUUUUGGAUAAUAAUUAGUUCUGAUGAUUGAAAAAAAAAACCUAGAAUUGGAAGGCAAGGUAUCCUUGAAUCUAAUAUUACUAGCUUUUACUCACAAUGUAGCUGAUUAUGAGUGCCAAACUACUAGUUUGAGCUGUUUUAGCUUUAAUUCCUAUGGGUUGACAUGUAUCUGGACAUUUUGGUUUAGGAUUGUGAUGAUUUAGAUUCUAGAGCAUGUAUCUAGUAUGAUAAAUUCUUAGUCAAUUGAGACACUUUUAGUGUGUUCUAUUUAUUUGAAA